UCCUCUAUCUUAUCCACAAGCUCCCUCUCCAGCCGCGGGGGCGCAGGACUCACGCAUGGCCUCCCCGCCGCUGCGUCCGCGCUGGUCCUCGAUCCUACGCGCGGGGCUCCCCGACCUUUGAUCCCCUCGCUUCAACGGCGGCGGCACCCUGUCCUUCCAUUGACCGCCCGAUUCCGGCCAACUCCUGCGCCUUCCCCGGGCUGCAGCUCACGGUAACGGAUCCCCUCGCCGCCCCCUACCGAUUCGCCCUGCAGCCGGCCUUCCUCGCCGCCCCGGCGUGCCCCUUGGCCACCGAGGAGAUGAGUUGCGCUGCCCGUGAGCACCUCUCCUGAUUCAUCUCUUUCCUCGCCCACAUGGGCCGCGCGAGUAGGAGCUCGCCGUCGGCCAUGGAUGCGGCCUAGAACUGCUACCGCCCAUGCCCUGCCAUGCGCCGACGGCCAUGGACCAGCCGCACGAGUAGGAGCACGCCACGGCGUGCGCGCAUGGAUGCGGCCGAGAACUGCUGCCGCCCCUGAACUGAAGCCGCGUGAUGCUGCUGCCGCUGGGGCGUGCUGCUGCUCGCCUCUCCAGUCCGCCGGUGCCUCUCACUCGGGUGGUGUCCCGGGCUGACGGUGAGGCACUGCGUGCGUCCGAGCUGCUGCUUGCGUCGCCUCGCGACCGCUGCUGGACCUGAGGGAGCCGCCGCGCGCGUCCAGGGGAGCAUCUGAGCAGCUCGCGUUUGAGCUGACGGCUACGUGCGCAACCUCUGAAUUCAGUGAUGCAAAAUUCUGGAGGCAACUACAUGUAUAUAGUAUUCAUGAAAGCUUUCAUUUGAAAGCUCAUAAGGUCAAUUUUGUUCCUUUUUCAUUUUUGUUCUUUCAUUUGAAAGCUCAUAAGGUCAAUUUUGUUCCUUUUUCAUUUUUGUUCUUUCAUUUGAAAGCUCAUAUGGUCAAUUUUGGAGGCAACUACAUGUAAACAAAUUAUGGCACGCAGCACAAGUUUCUUUGUUUGUAAAUUAAGCAGUCUGGUAGAUUUGGAAAGGAGGAACAUGGUACUGAACUUUUAUAUAUCAGCAUAAGAUGUUUUCCUAUGCCUUGAGGAGUUGCCGAUGGAUAAUAUGCAGAGGCUACCAAGUGGUAGCUCCAAUCUUGCAAUUGAGGUCAGCAAUGGGUGCUUCUCCUGGGACGGCUCACCUGAGAUACCAACACUGAAGGAUCUGAGUUUUCAAGAUCAGCAAGGCAUGCGUGUUGCAGUCUGUGGGAUGAUCGGCUCUAGAAAAUCAAGUUUGCUCUUUUGCAGUCUGUGGGAUGACCGGCUCUCAGUGAGGUGCCAAAGCUAUUAGGAGAUCCCAAGACUUGCGGAACAAUGGCAUAUGCCAGCCAGACAGUAUGGAUGAAGAGCGGCAAAAAUUCAGGACAACAUACUGUUUGACAAGGAAAUGGAGAGUGAGAAGUAUGGCAGGGUCCUUGUGUGGUGUUCGCUGAAGAAAGACUUGGAGAUCAAAGUCAUUUGAGAGUGAGGCAGCAAUCUUAGUGGUAGGCAGAAGCAAUGGAUUCAGAUAGCCUGAGCAUUGUAUCAGGGUGCCUUUUCUCGUGAGAUCUAAAGCACUCCCCCGACUUCCGUCCCCGCGAGAUCCGGAGAGGAAGUGCUGGCCUCCAGCCUCCGGCGGGGAAGCUGCUGCCUUCCAUGGCAAAAAAUACAAUUCCUCGCUGACCUCCCCAGUCAAGUCCCCCCUUCACGCUCAACCCCUCCUCUGCGUCGUGCAUCCUCGCCUUCCUCUCCCUAAACACAGACCAAGCCCUCCCCUAAACCCAAUCCCGUGGUACUAUUGCAUCUUGGUUUUGUGAAUACUAUUACAUCAUGAAAAGAAGGGGGACUGAUUAUUGGUUCAAAAUAAUUGGGGAGCAUAGAGAUGUGAGAGAUUGAGGGGUUCGGUUGGGGAUUUGUACCAUAUCAUGUUGAUGUGUAUUCCAUUAUUUAUUCUUUGCUCUGCUUGGGGCAAUUUUGUUGUACAGGGAGCUAUGAUUUGGAUCAAUUAUAUACUUAUAUGUGAUGUUCUUUCAUGCUUUUGAGGCUCCUGUUGAAGAGAUAAUUUUUAGCUAUUUGUACUGAUUAUUGCUACUGGUGUUGAUUGCAUUUAUUGUUGCUACCAUAUGCAGAUUGCCGUGAAUGUAUGAGAGAUUAAUACCAUUAUCCCAUGUGUGCAAUCUUUAAACGGAUGGCUGAUGCUUGGUGUAUUCUUUUGUGUCAAUCGGAACAAACAAGGAGGGAGGGUCUGGCUCCAGUUCAUUGUAACUCAAUUAACAUAGUUCGACCACUCUGAAAAAGGUGAUGCUCUGUAGUAAGUUCAUUUAUGGUUGUGUGUGUUUCUAUUGAUGUGUUUGCCCUGUCUGUUCAUUGCAUAUUCAGUUGUUCGAAAAAGGGGUGUCAUUUGUGCCAAGUUAAUCAACUAGGGAAAGUAACACUUGAUCACAGGGUAAUAAAGUUAGUAGGUGUAUGUAAAGUUAUGUAGCUUCGUCAAACAGAUGUGAUGUUUUAGUUGUUGGUCAGUUAUAGCUGCUCUCCAAUGACCUUUUGAAUUCAACAUGUCAUCAGUCAAAUAUACAAGGAGGACACAGAACAAAUCAGAAAGAAUGUAGCAAGUUGUUAAAUCUGAUUUGCUGCUUUCAUUUUGUGGAACUCUAUAGCUUGUGAAAUAUUCAUGUGUUAUAUCUUGUACGCCUCUUGUGAUUUUACCAAUGGAGUUGGCUCUAGCUCUUGAAAAGAUGGUGAAUGAGAAGCUUCCCAACCUUCCCACUGUAAGUUUCUUCUUCAUGCCUAUUUACAAGGAAAAUUACUUUAAAAGUAUUUGUGUGUGUGUGUGUUUGGCCCACUGAAUUCCUAAUUAUUUAUCCGAACCAGUACAUGCAAACGUCUCACCAUAUCUAAAACGUUCAUCCCAAAUUUAACAGGUAGCAACAAUGUGAAAAGAUCCUCAGCUGAGCAUCUUCAUUGGGCAAUGGACAUGAGGCGCGAGGGGUGUUAAGAGGAAAUGGACUCUCUGGAGCUUUCUUACAGUGAGGACAGGAUCCCCUCUUGCCCAAGGUUAAAUUCCUCAACUAUCUAGCCCCGUGAUGCCAAUGGUUCCCUUCCAGUCUUCUCUUUAAAAUCUGUCAGCAGCAAGCUCUGUCUAAAUGUAUGGUACUUCUCUAAGGAGAUGUCACAGUAUUUUUAAUUUAAAUACCUGUUAUAGGUCCCUUGAGUGCUUAGCUGAAAUUUGCUGGUUUACUAGCUCUCUGAAAGGGUCAAAUCACUGUAGAGCAACUAUAGCAUGCAACUGCUAUAGUUGUAUAUAUAGUUUGUAUUUAUCACUAAGAUUGGUCAUCAAGAUGUUCUGCAUCAAAGGUGUUGGUAGUGCUACAGUUGAAAAAAUAAGAUGACUUUGUGGUGUUACUACUACCUGAGAAGUAGCAACCUCCCACAAAAGGCAUGCCAUUUUUUCUGUUUGUGUACUAUGUUUUGGGGAGCUAUAACAAAGUCGUUACUAUGGCAGAAAAAGUAGUACAGUAAAGCAUGUACCAGAUAUACUGGGAGAAAAUGCCACGUGAUAAAAGAACGACUUCAAAUGAAUGCAUAUGUCUUGAAAUGAA